GAGUUUGAUCAUGGCUCAGAUUGAACGCUGGCGGCAUGCCUUACACAUGCAAGUCGAACGGCAGCAUGAUCUAGCUUGCUAGAUUGAUGGCGAGUGGCGAACGGGUGAGUAAUACAUCGGAACGUGCCCUGUAGUGGGGAUAACUAGUCGAAAGAUUAGCUAAUACCGCAUACGACCUGAGGGUGAAAGUGGGGGACCGCAAGGCCUCAUGCUAUAGGAGCGGCCGAUGUCUGAUUAGCUAGUUGGUGGGGUAAAGGCCCACCAAGGCGACGAUCAGUAGCUGGUCUGAGAGGACGAUCAGCCACACUGGGACUGAGACACGGCCCAGACUCCUACGGGAGGCAGCAGUGGGGAAUUUUGGACAAUGGGCGAAAGCCUGAUCCAGCAAUGCCGCGUGUGUGAAGAAGGCCUCGG
rnacentral:rRNA from 1 species